UUUCAUUUAGUGUUCAGGGUAGCUUUCAUGUUCUGUUAAUUAAACUUUGGGACAUUGAAAGUGGCAAAGAAAUUAUUGAGUAGAGAGUAUUACUCUGUUCAUACAUUUCCUAUUCUA